GGGGGAAUAGCUCAGUCGGUUAGAGUGCUGGUCUGUCACGCCAGAAGUCGCGGGUUCGAACCCCGUUUUCCCCG
rnacentral:tRNA from 3 species